UUUUCCCGUCUGCUUAUUCUCUCCAACUCUAACCCCUUCAAUGGCGAUUUAGGGAUUGAGUUUUGCGAUCUUUUCCAUGGCCAUUUCAUGGCUGCUUUCGGGUAAAUUCUUGAGGGGUUUUUCUCCCCUUGUCUUCCUAACACUAAUGGCAGGGGCCUUUGAGCCUGCUGUUAUCUUGGCACCAUGACACACAAAUGGAGAGAAUUAAAGGGGGAAAUCCCAAGAUAUUCGAAUCGGUUAGGGAAUUUUGGGGAAUUUUAUCCUUUAAUGUACUAUGUGAACAUUGUGUUGUACUAAUUUUGGCUGCUUGUGUGACUCACUGUACUAUCUUAGUAUUUCCUAUUUUUGCUGAAUUUUAUUUGGAUUUUUUAGGGUGUAAUCCAUCAGAUAUUUUUAUUUUGUUGUGUGAUUUGUACAAAUUCUGAUAGGUUAUAGUACUACUAGUACGAAUUUGUGGAGAAA